AACGCACCUUGCACCCUUUGGUAUUCCGAAGGGUAUGCCUGUUUGAGUGUCAUUAAAUUCUCAACUUCAAAAGGAUUUUGUCUUUUUUGAAGCUUGGACUGUGGAAGUUUGCUGGUAUCACUAUCAGCUCUUCUUAAAUGCAUUAGCGGAACUUUGAAGGACCAGCUUUGGUUUGAUAAUCCUAUCUAUGCCGCUGCUGUGGACUUGUGUGUGUUCAGCUUCUAAUGGUCUUCGGACUGUCUCCAUUGUGAGGCAUACACUUUUAAGCUUGACCUCAAAUCAGGUAGGACUACCCGCUGAACUUAA
rnacentral:misc_RNA from 1 species